GAUGAAGAACGUAGCGAAAUGCGAUAAGUAAUGUGAAUUGCAGAAUUCAGUGAAUCAUCGAAUCUUUGAACGCACCUUGCGCCCUUUGGCUAUUCCGAAGGGCAUGCCUGUUUGAGUAUCAUGAACACCUCAACUCUCAUGGGUUUGCCAUGAUGAGCUUGGACUUUGGGGGUCUUGCUGGCCUAUGGUCAGCUCCUCUCAAAUGGAUCAGCUUGCCAGUGUUUGGUGGCACCACAGGUGUGAUAACUAUCUACGCUUGUGGCUUUCCACCAGGUAACCUUCAGUGAUGAAGGUUCGCUGGGGCUUAUAAAUGUCUCUCCUCAUUGGAGACGGCUUUUUUGAAUGUUUGAUCUCAAAUCAGGUAGGACUACCCGCUGAACUUAAGCAUAUCAAUAAGCGGAGGA
rnacentral:misc_RNA from 1 species